rnacentral:rRNA from 1 species
UACAGAGGUGGCAAGCGUUGUUCGGAAUUACUGGGCGUAAAGGGCGCGUAGGCGGCCUUCUAAGUCAGACGUGAAAUCCCCCGGCUUAACCUGGGAACUGCGUCUGAUACUGGAAGGCUUGAGUUUGGGAGAGGGAUGCAGAAUUCCAGGUGUAGCGGUGAAAUGCGUAGAUAUCUGGAGGAACACCGGUGGCGAAGGCGACAUCCUGGACCGGUAUUGACGCUGAGGCGCGAAAGCCAGGGGAGCAAACGGG